rnacentral:lncRNA from 1 species
UGUCACACAUAUAAGGAGAAGAAAAUAGGUUGGCAGCAAGGUCUUAGAGAUAAUGUCAAACAUUAUCUAUAUGGUAUCCUAUUUCCAAUCAGAUUUGAACAUACCAUUUAAAACCUGAUCCUACCCAAAUUUAGAUGUGAGAUAGAGAAGACAAAGGAAUCUUUGGUGUAGAAAAAUCUCAUACAAAAACUAUUUGUGCAUAAGGAUAUAUGGCAUCAA